ensembl:lncRNA
AUGACCUGGGCAGAACACAUUGAGAGAGUGGUGGGAAAGUGUAUGAAGGUACUAAAUGUGAUGCGCUGUCUGACAGGGAAGGAGUGGGGGGCUGGGCGUGCCUCAUUGAAGACCAUAUAUGUUGCAUUGAUCCAAUCUGUAAUAGACUAUGUAAGUAUAGCGUAUGGUUCGGCAGCCUGGACAUCAUUGGAAAGGCUAGAUGUCAUACAGGAACAAGGACUCAGAAUAUGUAGUGGGGCGUUUUGGAUGUCUCCGGUGUUUGCAGUACAGGUGGAGGUGGGAGAAAUGCCAUUGCAGAUUAGGAGACAGCAGCUGGCAAUUAAUUAUCAGGUCAACCUACAGGGACAUGGGGUAUCUCAUCCUGCAAAAGGGAUUUUACAGGCAUGCUGGGAACAUGAGCAAAGACAGAACACGAGCUUUGGGUGGGUGGGUAGUACCCAGGCGAGGGAGAUGAGACUGUAUGGAAGGGAGUUUAGCCCAACGGUAGCUAUUCCUGUGAAUCCACCAUGGCUCCUCCCACAUCCAGUAGUAGAUCUAGAAGUGUUGGAGAGAACACAGAAAUAUAGGGAGGGUGUUGAUCCAUCUGAUUUGUUUAAGAGAAGUCUUGAUACUGUGUAUCAGGAUUUUGCCAUAUACACAGAUGGUUCAAAAGAUCCAAGGACAGGAUGUACUGGGUCAGCAUUUGUAGUGCAGGAAUAUGGGGUGAAAAUCAGGAAACGUAUUACAGAUCAUCUGGCUGUAUAUAUGGCGGAGAUGGCCAUACUGUUGGCCUUGCAGUGUGUGGGGGAAGUUAAGCCAGAAAGAGUAGUCAUUUGCUCUGAUUCAUGUGCAGUGCUAAGGAGUGUCCAGUCCUUUAUAUCACGUAGCAGACAAGACCUGCUUUAUGAGGUGCUACAAACCCAUGGCAGGAGUAAACAAAUGGGUAUAGAGAUAAUAUUUACAUGGGUCCCAGCUCAUGUGGGAGUGGAGGGGAACGAGGCAGUUGAUGUACUGGCUAAACAAGCACUAAGUAGUGGGGAUGUUGAUGUGGUAGUUUCAAUGAGCAAGGCAGAGGCAAAAAGCUUGAUAUGGACAGUGAUGGUGGAGAAAUGGCAGGAGCAGUGGAAGAGAUACACUAAGGGCAGGCAUUUAUUUCAAGUACAGAGGAAAGUUGGGGAGGUGAGAACGGCAGGAAGGGACAGAAGAGAGGAGGCUAUAUUUACAAGAUUAAGGGUGGGACACAGCCAGUUGAAUAAGACCUUACAUGUGAUAGGAAAGCAUCCAACAGGAAAAUGUGAGUAUUGCCAGGAAACAGACAGUGGACAGUAUUGUUUGUUCACUUUCACAGCUAGAAUACAGCUAGCUAGUUCAGCCUACUCAAACACCUGUCUCAAACAGCUGGCUAUGGCUAUCCAACACUGGAACUCUUCCAAGUCAAGGUAA